rnacentral:rRNA from 1 species
UCAUUUGCAAUGGGCGAAAGCCUGACAAUGCGACGCUGCGUGGAGGAUGAAGGCCUUCGGGUUGUAAACUCCUGUCAUGAGGGAAAAGGCGAGGGUACCCAAUACGUACCUUAGUUGAUGGUACCUCAAGAGGAAGGGACGGCUAACUCUGUGCCAGCAGCCGCGGUAAU